rnacentral:lncRNA from 1 species
UACCUCAUAUUGCCCACGUCGUUCCUGUGCUGUUCUUGGUGAGAGGGGAGAAAAUUAAUGGCUGCAUGGAUCUGCAAGGAAGAUGAAGAUAACUUUUUCCUGUCCGGUAAUAAAUGCAUGGAAUAGGAAAGAUCUAAGGGAAUAAAUUAUAUAAUAGUCAAUCUAAAUUUGCACAAACCCCAGUGAGCUGCAGCGAGUGUACAUGCGCCUCAUAAUGCUUCUGGCUGAUCUAGAGAGAGAGAGAGAGAGAUAGUAUGUUGACAAAACACAUGUAUGAGAAUAUGUGAAAAUAGUGUAAAAUAAAGAGUUUUAGAAGGAAAAUAAUAUGGCAAAAUUAUGUCAGACUUAUAAACAGCUGUGUUGAGCAAUCUAGGUUUAUGGACAAAGUGUGACGACUAAGAAAAAUCAGAUGAAAUCUAAAGAUAGAGGAAUAUUCUAUUUUCUCUGAAAAAUCUGGCACCUGAUAUCGACAAAACAUCUGUAACAAGGGUAAAGUAUCUUGAUAAGUCAUAAAAUCAAGGAUAUGUCAGGAAACUAGUGCUAACAUUUGCAGAUUAACUUGCUCAAAAAGAUAGUCAAAUUGACAAUACAACAUCAUAGUUCAUCAGAAAGUUGUUGUACAUGUUAACCCAGUCAAUAUUUGACCAAUCAAAACACAGAAAUUUAAAUUUCAAUCAUUUAGGUUUUGGGCUUUAUAAAUAGCUGAUUGAAAAAAGUUUCCAAAUCAUGCUUUUAGAAUCAAAUCAUCUAAUCUCGCAAGUUUUUAAAUCUACUCUAGAAAAUUUGUUACAACUUGUUACCGGCCAAAGCGUCUUCAAGUACCAAUACUAUUCAUAACACCAAAAAAAAUGCUAUAUUUUAAAGAUAUUUUAAGCUUAAUUUUUUAUAUGAUAAGUGUCUCAAAAAGUGCUUAAAACGUGGAUUAAUAGGAACGACGGUGCAUGUGUCCAGCGUGGGAGUGAUAGACCAGAAAUCUAUUGUAUAAGGGAUUUACUGAUCUCGUGAAAUUCAGUUGUAAUGUCUACAAGAGAACAGGAUAAAUUAAGGUUAGAAACCCUUAGAUUGUCAACAUCAGCUUUAAAAAGCUCUAACCACUCUUAAUCAAAAUGUUUCACACAAAGUUCUGGUGUGCUGACUGAAGUAGGUAUGUGUCAACCUAAUAUCUUCUAUGUUGACCCUUAAAAGUGUGUCCACCAUUCCUCCUGACAUAUAGCCUUGCCCAUCUUGAAACCUUCAUCCCCUUAAAAAACUAAAUUAUGAUGCCAUGAUCCAUCAAACGAUGAUAGUUAAGGAGCUGACAAACCAAAUCUGGGUUAAAUUAUUUCUAUAUAACUUCUAAUAUAAACCUUGAUGUCACACUUUCACUUUUUUUUUAAUCUCAAUUUAUGGUUAUUUGAAAUGCUCAUUUUGAAACUAAAAUGAUGUGGUGAGUUGUGUCAUAUUGGAAAAGGAAAGAUCAAGUCCCCAUGUUGGCCAUCCAAACUAAAGCUACAUUGCCUUCGUAGAAGAAUGAGUACCAAAGGUUCUCUUGUCAUCAAAGAAGGAAAAAACAAACUUUAGCAGAAGAAAGAUAUAUUUCAGCUAUCAACGUGACAUGAAAAGCAACAGAGUUAAAGGAAGAACUGUUACUGACGUUAAAUUUUAUUAACCCAGAUGGACAAUAUUUUCUUUCAACAUAUCCACUACUGGUGACCCAAGCAUGCCUAAACAUGUUAGAACUACAUCACCAGUUCUAUAUAUAAAAUGAUUUACUAUGUUAUGAUCAAGUUAAGUUCUAUGAGCAAGGAUGAUACUCUGUAAAUAUUUUUACUAAAUAUAUCAUAUUUGAGAAGCUAGAUAUGAUUGAAUAUCUUAUAUGAGCUGGAAAUAAAAAUGAACAUAAAAAUUAAACAUUUUUAUGAAGAAAAAUUUUAAGUUUUAGACUGUUCAACGAAAUAACUACCUUUAUUUACGUUUUGAAAGGAUGUGACAUUGUCAGGGAUAUAUUUAUGUAUCUAGUGACGAGGCACAUCUGAAAAUAGCCCUUCAAUAGUCUUCAAAUAUAAUUGUCUCAAUGUGGCUGCAUUCUGAUCACACCAUUUUCUAGGGUUAGGUCCCUUAGGAUACAGUGUUUAUAUUACAUCCUAUUUUGUCAAAACUAUGCUCCAUUUUUCUUCCUAUCAAUGAGAUAAAGGAUUAUUUACCAAAUUUAGGCUUUCAUCCUACUCCCUUGCAGCAACACAUAAGAGAUCAUCCUUAAGAGCUUAACUUUACCACCCUGUACUAGAGUAUCUCUUCUAUGCCUUUUGAGACGGGCGAAUCUUGUUCCAUGCAGGAGAAUGAUGGGGAUAAGUCCAGUGGGUAUAAAAUCCCCUGAAAUCAAAUUUUAAAUUUCAGGAAAUGCAAGUACAGGUGCAUACGCAUGUGAAUAAUUGAGACGAAUGGGUGACUGCUACGGUGGUCUCAGUAAAGAGUAUCAAUUUUUUAAAAUUCAACUCAUUCGAACCUAUCUGAGCUCUAUUACUUUUGUGCUCAUUUCUUUGUGUGGAGGGUAAUGUCGGAAUAUAUGCUCCGGAUGGUCAUUUUAACAUAUUUUCCCCAAUCGGGUACUAAAAUUUCUCUAGUUAGGAAGAUGAUUAUUAUUCCUUCCCGUGGAAGGUAUGCCUCUACCGUCCUUCCUGCUGCGUAAGCACUCAGUACGAAGAGUGAAAAGAUUUGCUGAAUUCAAACACUCAUGAUCCACAGUAGUGAUUGAUUACUUAUGCCGAUAUAGUUUUUGCGAUAGUCCUCAGGGGCCGGAUGAAUCUAAAAUAUCUUUCCCUCAGCAAGAUCCAAGGCAAUCUCUUCGUUCAUUGUAUUCGAAAAAAUAUAAAAUAUCUUCCUUCAGCAAGAUUCAUAUCGUGGUCAUCUGAAUCCAUCUCGAAACGACCCUACAAAAAAGUACUCACGCGAGGAUGCUGUCCUUCGCCUGAAGAGUACCAUCUGUUGUCCCUAGAAAGCCUCAUUCAAGAUGCUAUAUUUACAUAUGACACAAUUUUGAUAAGCACCUUUAGUUGACGAUGAAAACAGAAGGCAGGUUAUUUUCUCUUUCCUGAUUUUUUUUAAAUGAAAGUAUUAUAAAUUAUGACGCUGAUUGGUUCUAGUUGAUCUAAACUGAUAUAACAUGUGUUAAGUUCUGAUUCUUGUAUAUCUAAACCAUGCAUGCUGAUUCAGAAAUAAGUAAGAAACCAUAUUGCCAACUAUCUGAAUACGUCUUAAUAAUAACUAAAUAGAAGUAAAUAAUAUUACGUUUUUUUCCUGGGCAAGAAGCCAAAAAUUGUGCAAAACCUGUGUUACUGAUCUAUUGUAUGACUCUUAUGCUUAGAGAUAUGCGUGGAAGUCGAUACCAGACAUACAGUGUAUAGGACAGCGCACAAGAUGUUUCAAAUCUUCUCCUCGGAUACGCAACGAAAAUGGGAUCUCCAGUGUCUGAUCAUCAGCCCCUGCAUACAUUGACUCAUGUUGCGUAAAGUAAAUCGAGCAGAAGAGGCCUUAACGGAACCCGGAACCAGAACGGAUGUCGAAGGAAUGGCUUUCAAAGUUUGAGAUCGGCAUAUUGAGCACUGAAUUUCAUACAAACCUGUGAAGGGUCGCCCGAUGAGAUGCUGCGGAAGUACUGGAUUUUCUUGUGUUGGAGCAGGAAACGGGGGGAGGGCGAUUGGAAAACUUCGGGGCUUAAUGUCGGUAGAGGGAGAUUACCGGGCGCUCGCCUUUCUCUAGUUUCAGACAUAAGUACGCCUUUAGACGAACGCCUUUAUUAAAAUUUCUGCGAGGCCAUGGUAGUUACAACAACGCCAUCGUCCACCGCUGUAGUGACAAAUAGAAGGGCGCUGGUGCCGGGUGGACGUGGUGGGAGAGCCGACAGGAACGGCAGCUCCGUCCCCUGCUGCACAUGGGCGGCUGCGAUAUUGAACAACGAAGAUUCACGUGGGGUUACAGAGAGGAGGCAUUGACUCCACUUCUGUCCGGUGGUAGUUAGUUCGUUAUACUGUUGCCAAUCGAUCUUCAUCUAAAUGUAGAUGUCUGAGUCAUGCCUCUUCCUCUUCUUUGUACACUCGUAGGA